UUUAAUACAAGAGUACCCCUUACCAACUAAACUAUAAUAUUCUUGAAAACAUGUAGCCAUUAAUCCAACACGACAUUCAUAAUGAAAAAGCAUAUAAUGUAAGGUUAAUAUAUGACGUAAGUGAUAACCGUCACUGCCAACCUCAAGUAUCUCAAACCAUGCAUGCUCUAGAUAUUUGUACAAGACCAAUCUCGAAUGUCUAAGGUCUCCGAUCAUACCUGCUUUCUCAAGGUUGUGCCACCUCCUUAGCUAGACCUAGACAAUGAAUCGACAGACAAUCCCCUCCUCUCCGAACUUGUUAGACACGGGUCUGAUUUUUCUUAAAUAAAGUACCCGGCGACUCUAAAGGUACACAUUCACUGUUGAAUGCUAUGAUUGCAUCACCACUGUGAGUAUCUCUCCCGGGAUUAAGGUUUGCUGCCUCUUUUCUCCACCAAGAACAGGAAUCGCUCCAUGGCUUUCACAGAAUCACACCGGUCAUCAACACGUUUGGAAACCAAAAGAUGCUGUCUCCAUCUCUCAUCUUUGACAUCUUAUCUCCGUUUUAAGGUCACUGCAUGCUGUGAUCAUGUUAUUAGCUAAAAUGUCGUUUUACAUUUUUAAAGGGAAUAGAUUAGGCGUAAUGCUUGUCUGUUUCAUCUCAAUUAUGGCUAUAUUUGUUUUCUGUAUGUCAAACAAAUUUCCCCACAUAAUCUUCUUGGCGAUUCUUAAUCUGAUUACUUUGAGAAAUGGUGGCUACUGGAACCUAAUAGUAUUUUUCUUUCCUUCUAAAGAAAGCAAUUUUGAAGCUAAUCAGUUGUUAAUACAGCAAAGUUAGAAGGAAAUUUUAACAAAUUUCUAAUUUUUUUUCUUUCUAAAUCUCAAGGUUCCAGCUUUACAAUAUGCCAAAUUUCAGUGGGAAAUCUUAAUUAAUAAUUAAAAGAAAAAACAGAUUCAAACAAAAAGAUACCAAGUCAGUCGCUUAUUAAGGAGAGCAAUUUGGUUGACUUAAAAGGUCGGAUUGUUUGGCAAUCUUAUCCACAUGAAAUUAAGUAACCCAGCAGGUUUGGAUCCAUAAUUAUUAAGACAAUGACCCUUUCAAUUCGCCAA